AAUGUUUUCCAGCUGGUUGCAGAAGGUGUCAGAACACAAUCCAGCUGUCCGGGAGAAACGAACACGCCUGUGGGAACUUCCACUGGAGUCCAGGACUAGGAACUGUGGGAAGCCUUUGGGGAUUGAGAAUAGUCAAUGACCAACAGCUGGCUUCUAGUCUCCUGAUCUUGCAUGACAUGAUACUCAUUUGGAACAAAAGUAGGGGAGAAGAGAGAACCCUGAGGAUGGAAGCAUGUCUCAAAACAAUAAAAGGAAGAGAAAGAAAGCUGAGAAUCCCUGGGAUCUGCAAGAAGAAGGGAGAAGUCACAGUAAGUGUGCUGUCCAGAUCCCAGACCCUGCGUCUCCUCCAGAACCUGCCAAUGCCAUCGAUUUCUAUUAAUCUGAUGGAGCAUUCAUUACCCCAACAACCAACCUGCCACUGUUUGCUUAGCUUGCAUGAAAUCAGAGCUCCACAAAAAUCAAUGUGUGAAAUCUUUGUAUCAACAUAUAAGAAAUCCAAAGGUUUGUGCUGGUGGUAGCAGGAUUUUAGACAGAUUAAAACUGACAAACUGGCAUGUUCCGUGGUGGUGGCAAUGAUGAGGUGUGGCACCGUGUCAAAGGUUUGGAAAACAGCCUGCUAAGAAAGAAACGAAUGACUGUUGCAGGGGAGGGAGAAUGAUGCAUCUGGAUUAUUGAGAGGACAUUUGGAUGAUGUUCUGAUGGCUUAUGUUUCAGAAGCGACUUGAAAUCAGUAGGGAGAUUUCAAGCUCUGGCAGAGCACAGCUGUCCCCUAGGAACUCAUGAGUAAAGAUGAGCGGUUAAUGGCUUGAGCAAGGUCACCGUGGGCAGAGGUUAUGCCAGGACAAAAUGGUGGAACCUUGGUACGUACUUUCAGCAGUCACUGAACAUGCCACAGGCAGAGGACUCACGUCUUAUUGGUCCCAUAGCCUCUUAUCCCAAAAAGUGAGAGUGGGGACUCUUUCCAUUCAAACAUCUAGACGCCUGUGUGAGGAUCUUGCUUCCUCAGGAGCCUAAGGAGGGUGCAGGACUAGAAGUUCCACACGGCUAACUCUGUGCACUUCAAUUUGUAAGACACGUCUUCACCCUGACCUCAAGAGUCCUGUAAACAAAGGCAAUGGCUAACAUAAUGAAGAAGAAAAACCCCCUUUGAAAAGCCUCCUCUCAGCAUCGAAGCACAGCAUUCCAAAACCGUGACAGAAUUUUUUUUUUUUAAAUUUUGAUUCCCAUGUCUCACAACAUACUGUAGGCCAUCUGCUUCCAAUAUCAGGGGCCGUGGAGUGUAUGCUUCAGGAAUGAAACUCUUCCUUUAAGAAUAGUAGCCAAGAAAG
rnacentral:lncRNA from 1 species